rnacentral:rRNA from 1 species
GGUGAACGCUGGCGGCAGGCCUAACACAUGCAAGUCGAGCGGCAGCGCGGGGCAACCUGGCGGCGAGCGGCGGACGGGUGAGUAACGCGUAGGAAUCUACCUGGGAGUGGGGGAUAGCCAGGGGAAACUCGGAUUAAUACCGCAUAAGUCCCAAGGGAGAAAGUGGGGGAUCUGCGGCCCACACGCGAUCAGAAGAGCCGGCGUAGGAUUAGCUAGUUGGUAGGGUAAAGGCCUACCAAGGCGACGAUCCUUAACUGGUCUGAGAGGAUGAUCAGUCACACCGGAACUGAGACACGGUCCGGACUCCAACGGGAGGCAGCAGUGGGGAAUAUUGGACAAUGGGGGCAACCCUGAUCCAGCCAUGCCGCGUGUGUGAAGAAGGCCUUCGGGUUGUAAAGCACUUUAAGCAGGGAGGAAGGCUUUGUGGUUAAUAACCAUGAGGAUUGACGUUACCUGCAGAAUAAGCACCGGCUAACUCCGUGCCAGCCGCCGCCGUAA